rnacentral:rRNA from 1 species
AUUGAACGCUGGCGGCAUGCCUAACACAUGCGAGUCGAGCGGAUGAAGGGAGCUUUCUCCUGGAUUCAGCGGCGGACGGGUGAGUAAUGCCUAGGAAUCUGCCUGGUAUUGGGGGAUAACGUCCGUACACGGGCGCUAAUACCGCAUACGUCCUGAUGUAGAAAGUGGUGGAUCAUUGGAGCUCACGCUAUCUGCUGAGCCUAGGACGGAUUAGCUAGUUGGUGUGGUAAAGGCCUACCAAGGCGACGAUCCGUAACUGGCCUGAGAGGAUGAUCAGCCACACUGGAACUGAGACACGGUCCAGACUCCUACGGGAGGCAGCAGUAGGGAAUCUUGGACAAUGGGCGAAAGCCUGACCCAGCCAUGCCGCGUGUGUGAAGAAGGUCUUCGGAUUGUAAAGCUCUUUAAGUUGGGAGGAAGAGAAGUAAGUGAAUACAUUGCUGUUUUGACGGUACCAACAGAAUAAGCAACGGCUAACUUCGUG